AAUUAAAUUCAACAAAAACAAGAUAUAUAUCGUUCAAACGAUACAUUCCCCCGGCAAAUAGUCAAUCCUGUAACUGUUCCUCAACUGGUAAUAUUACAACAAGCCUGUGCACGGAACGGCGUAUGGUUUGAUCCUCGCAUCCAUUGUAUGAGACUCCUUGACUGACAUUUUUAUAUCUGAGAAUCACAUCUCUCACAAACCCAUCUCUUCCGGCAUUCGCUUCGAUGAUCUGUGCCAUUUUCCAUCGUCCACGGACAAUGUUUGAAUCUUGC
rnacentral:lncRNA from 1 species